rnacentral:rRNA from 1 species
UACGUAGGGCGCAAGCGUUAUCCGGAAUUAUUGGGCGUAAAGAGCUCGUAGGCGGCUUGUCGCGUCGGCCGUGAAAGUCCGGGGCUCAACUCCGGAUCUGCGGUCGGUACGGGCAGGCUAGAGUGCUGUAGGGGAGACUGGAAUUCCUGGUGUAGCGGUGAAAUGCGCAGAUAUCAGGAGGAACACCGGUGGCGAAGGCGGGUCUCUGGGCAGUAACUGACGCUGAGGAGCGAAAGCGUGGGGAGCGAACAGG